rnacentral:rRNA from 1 species
UUUUCCUACGGGGCGCAGCAGUGAGGAAUAUUGGUCAAUGGGCGGAAGCCUGAACCAGCCAAGUCGCGUGAGGGAAUAAGGCCCUACGGGUCGUAAACCUCUUUUGCCGGGGAGCAAGGGCGGGGACGUGUCCCGGCCCGGAGAGUACCCGGAGAAAAAGCAUCGGCUAACUCCGUGCCAGCAGCCGCGGUAAUACGGAGGAUGCGAGCGUUAUCCGGAUUUAUUGGGUUUAAGGGGUGCGCAGGCGGAAUGUCAAGUCAGCGGUAAAAUUUCGGGGCUCAACCCCGUCGUGCCGUUGAAACUGG